CUCUGGCAAAUCGCAGAGACGUCCCCCCGGCGAGGCGUCUCGCAUCAGUCGCGGAGACGUCUCGGGGACCUAACGAGGGUUUUUAAAUAGGUGAAACAGCUCGAGCCGACCCGAGCUAUUCUCUUCCAUCCCCGACAAAAACAAAAACCCUAGCCUCCAUUUGCUCUCCACCACAAACCCUAGCCUCCAUUUGCUCUCCAUCGCAAACCCUAGCAUCCAUGGCACCUAAGAGGGCUAGACGAACCGGUGGGAGGCGUCCUAGGGUAGCAACCGACGGU
rnacentral:lncRNA from 1 species